CUUGCGUCGGGAUAUUUCAGAAUCCGAAAUGAGUUGCCUGGAAUCGUGUGGACAUAUUCGUUGUCAUACAUAGCUUUCCACACCUACUCUAUCCAGGGACUUUUGGAGAACGAGUAUCUAGGAGUGAAUUUUGACAUUGGACAGGUGAGGACCAUAUCGGGUUUUCAAGCACUCCUUAGUGCUUACGAUAUCUCUCCUAGCAGUAACUCCAAGUGGGAGAAUUUACUGGUAUUGUUCCUCAUGGCAGUUACAUAUAGAAUUCUUGUGUUUGUGUUGCUGCAUUUUCAUGCAAGGAAAAAUGUAUCCCUACAUAGAAUUUGCGAGUGUUGUCGCGAUUCGACGAGCUGAGAUGAAUGGAGGUGGUACUGUCAUCUUUGGCAGCCAUUCAAAUGGUAUAAUCUUUUGUUUUUUCCAUUGUCCAA